GCAAACCUAACAAUGACUCACGAGUGAGUCUUCAUGACUGACUGGUUAAAUGAAGCUGUUCAUACGUGUGUGUGUGUGAGUCAGUCAUCAUGCUCACGUCGUGAUCUCUCUCUAAAGCCGAGACGCCAGCAUUCAUCGAUUAGUCAUGUUAAAGUGGCCUUUCCCACACUUUGAGAACUUGACGCACACAUUGUACAAUCACAGCUCAUCUCGUGCUCCCUUUAGAUGUUUUUGACCGCUGUUCUUCUGAUUUUUAGGGCCAGACUUCAAUCCCAUUGCAAUUCAUAACUUUUAUGACAACCUUGGAUUCUUGGGUCCUGUUCCUCCUAAACCUCUCAAAGGUCCUGCGAAACAAGAGGGCAGCCGGAGCGCCAGGCUCGUGUCGGAGCCCGAGGAGGACGACGGUGUUCAGUGGAGCUGCACUGCCUGCACCUUCCUCAACCACCCUGCCCUCAACCGCUGUGAAGAGUGUGAAUUCCCCCGGCAUUUCUGAGCCACACACACACCUAACAUUCUCCACCGGGACACACGUCUGCUGGAGGCUUCUCUAAAGCUCCCUCUUUGCCCCUCAGUGUCAUUGUGUGUUUGUUUGUCUUGUGAUGUCCACUGAAGACUGGAUGAUGUUUACAGCUCUCUUGUCUCUGUACAGUGUGUGUGUUUCUGUGUGUGUGUGUUUCUGUGUGUGUGUGUGUGUGUCGUAUCGUGUGGGAGAUCAAGGGAAAUUUCCCCUCUUGAUCCGUGAAGAGGCUCGUGUUGCCGGUGAUAUUGACACGUUUAUUUCAUCCACACGCGGUUUACAGAUGUGGCUUUGGAUGCCAGUGUGCCUUUUUCAUGGGAACUGAUCGUGACUGCUUUAUCAGUGCUGUUCCCAAAGGAUCAUGGGCGGAAUCUGCUCAACUCACAGUUCUUUUGUUUGAUCAAUGAAAUGCAAAAAAGAAAAGAAAAAAAAACCCCUGCAUGUUUUAGAUGUACAGUUUACAGAGGAGUCUCCGCCACAGAUUUUACUGUACAUAGUUUUAGAACGAGCUUUUCUUUCUCAAGAAUUCACAUGUAUUUCCUGUAAGUAUAGCUUUAUAGACGUCAUUUAUUUCUCUGUUGUUGUUUCGUUUGUUUCUCUCAGAUGAGUAUGGAGCGUUUGUGAGAAGCUAAAGGGAUGCUGAAACAGCGUGCAGCAAACAGUGCUCUGUCAAGCACUCUAUUCAGCGUACGAGCUGCAGACGCAGCAAAACUGAA